rnacentral:rRNA from 1 species
AGCGAACGCUGGCGGCAGGCCUAACACAUGCAAGUCGAACGAACCCUUCGGGGUUAGUGGCGGACGGGUGAGUAACACGUGGGAACGUGCCUUUAGGUUCGGAAUAACUCAGGGAAACUUGUGCUAAUACCGAAUGUGCCCUUCGGGGGAAAGAUUAAUCGCCUUUAGAGCGGCCCGCGUCUGAUUAGCUAGUUGGUUGAGGUAAUGGCUCACCAAGGCGACGAUCAGUAGCUGGUCUGAGAGGAUGAUCAGCCACAUUGGGACUGAGACACGGCCCAAACUCCUACGGGAGGCAGCAGUGGGGAAUCUUGCGCAAUGGGCGAAAGCCUGACGCAGCCAUGCCGCGUGAAUGAUGAAGGUCUUAGGAUUGUAAAAUUCUUUCACCGGGGACGAUAAUGACGGUACCCGGAGAAGAAGCCCCGGCUAACUUCGUG